UACGUAGGGGGCAAGCGUUAUCCGGAUUUACUGGGUGUAAAGGGAGCGUAGACGGCCAUUCAAGCCAGAUGUGAAAGCCCGGGGCUCAACUCCGGGACUGCAUUUGGAACUGUGGGGCUAGAGUGUCGGAGAGGCAGGCGGAAUUCCUAGUGUAGCGGUGAAAUGCGUAGAUAUUAGGAGGAACACCAGUGGCGAAGGCGGCCUGCUGGACGAUGACUGACGUUGAGGCUCGAAAGCGUGGGGAGCAAACAGG
rnacentral:rRNA from 1 species